UCUUCUAAAUCACAUCAGAUAAUUAUCAAUAAUAUCAUGAUACAUCAGAGUCUUCAUAGAUUGAGUUGUAGCCUCAAGUUACAUUCUAUGGUUCCAAAAAUUAAGGAAACAACCAACACAGAUGCUACAUUCAGGAUGGCACAACCAAGAACCACUACAUGCUGCCAUAAUGCUUACAGCUAUUAACAAACAAUUUUGCUACACAAAAUACUUCCAGUCAUUGCUUCCAAGUAGGUUGAAGCAUGAGAGGACCCAUCUGUACUCCCUCUACAUACAAAAACAAGAUAAAUGAACCAUUCAUAAGAAUCAGUGACAUGUACAAUCUGAGGUACAAGAGAACUAUGUAGCACGGAUACGGAUACGCGUAUCGGUAUCGGAAGGAUACGGAUACGUGGAUACGGCAAUUUCCUAAAUAACCCGAUACGCAGAUACGUUUUAUUAUUUUAAAAAAAUAAAUAAUAGCACAUAUUAAAAUUGUAAAAGUAGUUCAGUAAUAAUCUAAUCAGUAGUAGUUCAGUAUAUCACUGAACUCUGAAGUAGAAAGGAGAGGAAGAGGACAAAGGAGCACAGGUAAGCCACAGGUCCACAGCCCAUAGGAACAACCGAACAGGGCAUUAUAUUUGCAAAAGUGUCAUGGUAGUCCCACUCUUCCGUCGACCUUAUCCUCUUUCCAGCCUCCCAACGACAGCACACAUCUCCCCUGUCCUCCCUCCCAAUCCAGAUACUUCUCCCGUGGAUAGGUCCCUAGACAUCUCCAUCGCUCCCACCACACCACGGCCUCCCCGCCGCCCGCCCUCCUCCCCUUCGAAUAUCUCUCCCAAGUCCCAACAUCAGGGCACGAGCAGAGGAUUCGGAGCCCCACCGCUCCCACCACGCCACUGCCUCCGCGCCAGCAGGCCUCGUCGCCAGUGAGUGGAGGCUUGUCACAGGUGGCCCGCGGCUGGCGAGCAGGGAUGCGACGUCACUGCACGGGGAUGCGGCGCGAGGCGGAGGCGUGCAAAGCUAGGGCGUCAGGGACAGAGGGAUAAUGGAGUCUAUUGCUAUCGGGUUGAGCCGUAUCCGCAAACCAGAUACGUAUCGACUGCCGUAUCCAAUAUUCGCGAAAAAAAGGAAAAAUCGGAUACUCUGAGGAUACGUAUCCGAGGAGUAUCGGACACGUAUCCGUAUCCGGUACGUAUCAGAUACGCGAUACGCGUUCCCAGUGACGUAUCCGUGUAACAUAGCAAGAGAAUGAUUCUUAUGUGGAAAUAAGGGAAGAUACAUGCCUGAUAUCUAUAUUAUUAUUUCACUUUAAGGAACAAACCAUCAGUUCAAAGAACAAAGCAAACUUAUAUUAGCAGUAACAAGUCAACUUGUACUAAAGUAUUAAUACUGCACUGUUGGAUUAUAUCUCACACAUUGUGCACCUAAACCAGAUGCAAUGUAAUUUUUGAGUGGCCACACAGUACAGUCAGUGCUUCACAGUAUCUAGUAAUAGAUGAGGUCAGUAAGCACAUUUUGCUAAAUUAUCAGAUUAUACUUUUCCCUCUCCCACACAGUACUUGGAAUAAGCUGUACUACAGAAGUGUUAGGUGAACUGACAUGCAGGUGCUCAAUAAAAUUCAGUGCCUAGACCUUGUUUAGUUGUGAAAAGUUUUUAGAUUUUGACACUGUAGCACUUUCGUUUGUAUUUGAUAAUUAUUGUCCAACUAUAGACUAACUAGGCUCAAAGGAUUCGUCUCGUAAAUUACAGACAAACUAUACAAUUAGUUUUUGUUUUUGUCUAUAUUUAGUGCUCCAUGCAUACCACAAAAUUUGAUGUGACGGGGAAUCUUGAAAAGUUUUUGAAUUUUGGGGUGAACUAAACAAGGCCCUAGUUCAAAUUCAAUGUUCUAGCAUUCUAUAGGGCAGAGGAACCUGAAACAAGUAUCACAAUUGCCCACCUUAUGUACAAGUAGCACAAUUUUGCUUAAGUAAAGCACUAAAACAGUCCAUAUAUGGUCGAUGACCUGCAACAUGUGAAAAUAAUCAAAUGUAGGCAUAUGCACGCUUCUAUUAAGUGAGGAAAGGUAAAGUAGGCAUAUGAUAGUUGAUGAAUAUUUUUUAUCUAAUCUAGCUGAAAAAUGUCUUGUCCUGCCGAAGGAGUUAGAUCCUUUUCACCUGCAAGAAAAGGAUUCCCUUAUAUGCAUAUGGUGAAAGGAAAGAUUAAGGUAGCAUUUGCUAGCUAAUUAAAAUUCCAGGUUUCUGUAAGCUGCAGAUUCAAUACAUACAUUAUUCACUUAGAUUAGAUGACGACAAUACUAGUCAUUAGAAUAUAUGUUGAGAUUUCAUUUUCCAAACAAAUUAAGACCUACAUAUGCCAUACACUACUAGAACUCAGGGAGCAAAAAAAUAGGAUCUGUACUUACAUUUUCAAGAUCUGAACUUAGGCAAGAACAUUUCACAAAACACAUAAACCCAAAGUGAUGUUCGAAUACAAAUUUGUACCUAGAAGCUUGUAUAUACUUAAUAAAGCUAUAAACUACAAAUCAGUUUUACAGUGCAGAUAUGAGCAACUACCACUACUGCUCAACACAACCACGUUGUGGAUCUAUAGUUUCAAAGGAUCAUGUGUCAAAACUUUUUUUUUUGUUUAGAUCCAAAAAGUUUUUGGAUUUUAACACUGUAGCACUUUCAUUUUUAUUUGACAAACAUUAUCCAAUCAUAGAGUAACUAGGCUUAAAAGAUUCGUCUCACGAUUUACAGGCAAACUGCGCAAUUAGUUUUUGUUUUCAUUUAUAUUUAAUGUUUCAUGCAUGUGCUGCAAGAUUUGAUGUGACGAGGAAUCUUGAAAAGUUUUUGGUUUUUGGGGUGAACUAAACAAGGCCCAUUGGUGCUGAAAAUAUAGGGUCGGCGUCAAGCACACCAAGCGGCGCUGAACUAGAAUGACAUACCAAGCUACAUAUAGGGGUGGAUGAGCAGCUAGAAAGAAGGUCAGUGCUACAUGAGGCUUUGUCUUUGUGGGACUUUAGCAGCCACUUGGACUGGUAGCUAGAGCAAGCCACCCCAGCCACUACCCAACACCUAGGAAGGAGAACCGGCCUUUGGCGCACCAGAUCUAGCCCUAGGGGGGUGGAUCUGGCCAGCCACCAACAUUCCCCGCCGAUGGUGGAGAGGGUGGAGGGAAGGCAGAGAAGCGAGGGUGAGGAAGAGGGAGGUGUGAACAUGGCUCCUAUUUUUAGCACCGCUGGCCACCGCCACCGCGCGGGGGAGGCACUUGGCCCCGAGUCGCCCUGAUGAGGACACUCCAUGUUGAAGUUUAAAUCCACUUAACAUCAAUACUAUACAAGUAUCCAUGGUUCAUAUAAUAACUCUUUAGUUGUCACUGUUUCAGGGCCAUGAGAGUCUAUCUGAGCUAAGACAUCUUUUUUGCCAUGGAUCAUUUAUCACUAUCUAUUAUAGCCCAAGCCAUCAACGCUAUUGGCAUAAAAGAUCUACCCAUGACCUCCCCCACAUGCAAUCCCUGCUUAGCACCCAACAUUUAUGCUUCAUUGCUAAUAGUUGAUCAAGGAGAGUUUUAUUUCUUUUAAUUCUUGUUGGUUGAAACUUUGUGUUGGUGUUUGGUAAUUCACAUUAAAAUUUCCCAACUCUAAUGCUGAUCUCGUUGAUCGAGUGGUAAAGUUUAUUCAUCCAACUUAGCAUGAAUAUUUAUGUUUUUAAUGUCUUUAUAUAAACUCACAUAAACAAUUCGUCAUAAAUCAACUUAUUCCUUGUUAUAUUAUAAUCUCUUUUAUCUAACCAAUACAUCAUCAUCUCACUAUAUUAUUUCAUCCAUUAUAGUUGAUAUUACUUAACCACACCAUAUACCAUUUUAUUAAUAUACUAUUACACUGCAAUAGGUUAAAAGCUAUUAAACCAAUUCAUAUGUCAUCAUUUUAUUACGUUACUAUAUACCUAACCACUUCAUAAACCAUCAUUUUUAAUGUCGCUACUACCCUAAGUUCCAACUUAUUAACCAUGCUUUGAAAAUGAUUAUUUCAUUAUGCUAGAUAGUCCAUUACGACAAAUGUUGCAUAGCAGUACUAUACUUUUUAAACAAUAUAACCAUAAAUAUGUUUACAUGUAAAAUACAUUUCAUUUAAAAGUACCAAUUCAAAAUUUAUUUGUGCACCAAACAAUUAUUUAGGCAAAUAUUAUGUCACACAGUUCAAAAACAACUAUUCGAAUCUAGGCUUUUCUUUUCCAACUUGAAGAGAAACAGUUUCAUAGAAAUAAACAAAGAAAACAAAGGCAAAUAAUCUGUUCCAUUCUCUAGCCUACAAACGUUGGCUAACAGAUCAGAAAAACAGGUGCUCAUCCCUCCCUCUAUUGUCCCUCGUAGGGACAGAGAUAUCCCCUCAACCAAGUAGAUACAUGGAAUCAUCCCAUCCCAAAAAUCUGGAUUGGAUCCAUCCCAUCCCUCCUAGUCUCAAAACCAAACACAACCAAAGAAGGCUCAGUUGCUCCCUCUACUAGACAAAGUCGCAGACAAGCUUUUAGGAUAAGGUGUUGUUGUAAAUGGAGCAUAUGUAAAGAGUCUUUGUGCAAAUAGUUGAAUAAAAGGAGAGAGAGUGAGCACUGCUAGGAGAAGUAGCACAAGCAUGUUCGCUUGAGCUUGUCUGCUAAAUCUAUCAGACAUUCAGCAGUAUUUUUCUCUCAUAAUAAAUCAGCAAACAGUACUUUCAGCCAUAGCUUUUCAGACAAGUGAUGGACAUUCCUGUUAGAGUAUAAGGUUUAGGCCCAUGAGGCCCAUGUAUGUGACCAUAUUGCUACCCUUCUAGGGUCAGCCCAAUUAAGGAAAUCACAGUUUACAGCAUGGUAUCAAGCUAGGGUUUCUCUUCUCCCUCCCUCCCUUCCCAGCCCAGCCGCCAGGCAGCAGCCGCCGCCGGCCGGCGCGCCGCCGCAGCCGCGGCCAUGGCCGCCCCUCCUCCACCACCAGCCGGCGCGGCCCCCCGAGGCGCGGGCGCGCCGCCCCUGGGCGCGGCCUCCCUGGGCGCGGGCGCGCCGCCCCUGCGCGCGGCCCCCCUGGGCGCGGACGCGCCGGCCCUGAGCGCAGCUGCGGGCGCGCCGCCCCUGGGCGCGGGUGCUGCCCUUCCUCCACCACACUCCGCCCUCGCCACUGCCCUCACCGCUGCCCGCGCUGCUGCUACGGACGGCCAUGUGCGCAUGCGGGCUGCUGCCAUCGCUUGGGAGCGCGAGCACCAUGCAGCCGAUGACCUGGCUCGCAAGAUCGCCGAGGCGGAGCAACUGCUCAUCCUCCCUGCCUCGCACAAUGUCGGGGUGACCUCCUCCGGCUCCGGGGACGCGGCCGUCGCCGCCAUGCCUGCUGCAGUGGCUGCCGGACUGGGCAUGCCCUGGGCUGACGCAGCCGGACUGGGCUUGCCGCGUGCUGACGCAGCCGCAGCGGUCACCACCCUCGCCGCUGACCGGGCCGCUGCGGCGGCGGACAGGACCUCGUCUUUUCUUCCUCCUCCUCCCUCCGAGCCAAGCGGGGGUUGGGGGGGCCGUGGCAGCCACCGUCGCCGCCGCGGUGGAGGCGGGUGGAGUCUCUCAGCGCCUCUGUGGCCUCCACCUCCGAGUGCCUUGCCCGUGCCUGUCGGAUGGGACCCGGCGGCCUGGGCAUCUUUCCGCCACCCGUGGUCGACCAUGUGGGGCGACGGCAGGUCGGCGCCUCUGUUGUCGGACACAACAGCUCUACGUGCGCGGGCCAUGGCCGCUGUGCCUAGAGGAGCUGCGUCUCCUUCCACACCGGCUUCCUCAUUCCUCUCCAUCGCCAAACCUUCGCCCGCGGCUCCUCCUGCCGCAGGGCUGCGACCAGUCAGUCCUGACUGGAUCGCUGACUCGGGCGCCACCUUCCAUAUCACGCCCGAUGCGAGUCUCCUCUCUUCUAUCAGUCCUCCCCACCCUUCUUGUCCUUCUUCCAUCAUGGUCGCUAAUGGCACCUGCAUUCCUGUCUCCUCCGUAGGCACUGCCAAUUCCCAUGGCUCUUUUCAUAUCCCCGAUGUUCUUGUGGCUCCCGGUAUGGUUCACAACCUCCUCUCUAUUCGCCGCUUCACGACUGACAACUCUUGUUCGGUUGAGUUCGACCCCUCUGGCCUCACCGUGCGGGAGUUGGCUUCCCGGCGUCCUCUUCUCCGUUGUGACAGCACUGGGCCUCUCUACACCCUUCGUUUCCCGGUUUCCGCUGCACCUCCUUUGCCUUCUUAUUCACCCCCUUCGGCUUCUGCCUUCACCACCACCUCCUCCACUACGUGGCACCGUCGCCUUAGCCAUCCUGGCAGCACUGCUUUGUCCCAGCUCAGUCGCAGUUCCGUUGUGCCUUGCCCCCGCACUCUUGAUGAGCAUUUGUGUCAUGCAUGCCAGUUGGGCCGUCAUGUUAGACUUCCUUUCCCUACCUCCUCCUCCCAUGCGGCUCACAUCUUUGAUCUUAUCCAUUGCGACCUGUGGACAUCUCCUGUUCUUAGUAUGUCUGGCUACAAGUACUACUUGGUGGUGGUUGAUGACUUCUCCCAUUACUCCUGGACUUUUCCCUUGCGUGCCAAGUCCGAUACAUUCACCACUCUUCGCCACUUCUUUGCAUGGGUGUCCACCCAGUUCGGCCUCACCAUCAAGGCCGUGCAGUGUGACAACGGACGUGAGUUUGAUAACACCACCGCUCGCUCCUUCUUCCUCUCCUGUGGUGUCCAGUUGCGCAUGUCUUGCCCUUACACCUCCCCUCAGAACGGCAAGGCUGAGCGCAUGAUUCGCACCACAAACGAUGUCAUGCGCACCCUUCUGUUACAGGCCUCGCUUCCCGCUCGCUUCUGGGCUGAGAGCCUCCACACCGCCACCUAUCUCCUUAACCGCUUGCCCUCCACGGCUUCCCCUGCGCCCACUCCACACCACGCUCUUUUCGGUACCCCUCCCCGCUACGAUCACCUUCGUGUGUUUGGGUGCGCUUGCUACCCCAACACAGUUGCCACUUCUCCUCAUAAGCUUGCCCCCCGUUCUACUCUCUGUAUCUUCCUGGGUUACUCCCCUGAGCAUAAGGGGUACCGUUGCUUGGACCUCUCUUCUCGCCGUGUCCUCAUCUCUCGCCACGUCGUGUUUGACGAGUCGGCAUUCCCUUUCUCCACCACCCCCACCUCCACACCUCCUGCUGACCCUGCGGAGGCUUCUUUUUUUCCCACUGACCCAGUGGUUCCACCACCGUUUCCACUAUACCCUGCAGGUCUUGCUCCGGCACGCUCUCCUGGUGGUCCUUCGAGCCAGGACCCUCCUGUACCUGGCACGACAGAGGCAGCCCCAGAACUUCCUCCACCACUACCAAUGGUUGCGCUGCCUCCCGUUGUGCCCGAAGUCGUCGUCCCGAUCGCGGGACCGCGCGCCCCGUCCUCACCUCCCCGGCGCUUCGGCCUCGUCUACCAGCGGCGGCGAGAGCCGGCUCCGCCUCUGCAGCCGGUGUCGCGGGCUCCGUCGCCGCCCUCGCCACUAGCGCUGUCGUCGCCGGUACGGGCUCCGCCGUCGACCCCGCCACCUCCGGCGGAGCACCCGUCCAUGCCGCCUCCGGCCCCGAGGCGCUCUCGCGCCGAGCCGCCGGUGUACCACCCGCCUCUACUUCACCGGGAUCCUCGUCACACUCACCCAAUGGUGACGAGGCAGGCAUCCCAGCCGCGGGCCCUCACCGCUGCUACUUGCGAGACGGGGAUCUCACCGAUACCCUCUUCCGUCCGCGAGGCCUUGUCAGAUCCUCACUGGCGCCGUGCGAUGGAAGAGGAGUACGCGGCCCUCCUCGCUAACCAGACGUGGGAUCUGGUGCCCCGUCCGCCGGCCUCCAACGUUGUCACCGGCAAGUGGAUCUGGACGCACAAGCGGCGUGUUGAUGGUUCCUUGGAGCGCUACAAGGCUCGCUGGGUCCUCCGGGGUUUCAGUCAGCGGCCCGGCAUUGACUAUGAUGAGACCUUCAGUCUAGUGGUGAAGCCAGCUACCGUCCGCACCGUACUAUCUGUGGCUCUCGAGCGCUCCUGGCCUGUGCAUCAGCUGGAUGUCAAGAAUGCCUUCCUCCAUGGCACUCUGACCGAGACAGUCUACUGCAGUCAGCCGGCCGGUUUCGUGGAUUCUUCUCGCCCUGACUUGGUCUGCCGGCUCAACAAGUCUCUCUACGGUCUCAAGCAGGCACCUCGGGCGUGGUAUUCUCGGUUCUCUACCUUCCUGCAGACUCUUGGGUUCACGGAGGCCAAGUCCGACACCUCACUGUUCAUAUACCACCAUGGGGGUGAGACUGCUUACCUGCUCCUCUAUGUGGAUGACAUUGUUCUCACCGCCUGCAGCGAGUCACUGCUCCAGCGCAUCAUUACCACUCUCCAGAGGGAAUUUGCUAUGAAGGAUCUUGGUCUGCUCCAUCACUUCCUCGGUGUCACUGUUGAGCCCCGACCUUCAGGCUUGUUCCUCCACCAGCGGCAGUUCACUUGUGACAUUCUCGAGCGAGCAGGGAUGACUGACUGCAAGUCCUGUUCUACUCCGGUCGAUACCCAGGGCAAGCUGUCAGAGGCAGAGGGUCCGAUGCUUGGGCCAGAGGACUCUACCGCCUACCGGAGUCUUGCUGGCGCGCUCCAGUACCUCACCUUCACACGGCCUGACAUCACCUACGCCGUGCAGCAGCUCUGCCUCUACAUGCAUGCUCCGCGGGAGCCCCACCUUGCUGCUAUGAAGCGGCUCCUCCGGUACCUCCGUGGCACUCUCGGCUAUGGGCUGCUCCUCAGCCGGUCCUCCUCUGCCGAGCUGGUUGUCUACACCGACGCUGAUUGGGCGGGCUGCCCGGACACCCGCAGGUCCACCUCCGGCUACGCUGUCUUCCUGGGCGGCAACCUUGUCUCGUGGUCGUCCAAGCGACAGCCGGUGGUCUCACGCUCCAGUGCCGAGGCGGAGUACCGCGCCGUUGCCAAUGGUGUGGCCGAGGCUGCUUGGCUCCGCCAGCUACUGGCUGAGCUUCACCGCCCCCUCGCCAGGAGCUCACUUGUCUACUGCGACAACGUCAGCGCCGUCUAUCUCUCCACCAACCCUGUGCAGCACCAGCGGACCAAGCAUGUGGAGAUCGACCUGCACUUCGUCCGCGACCAUGUGGCCAUCGGCGACGUCCGGGUCCUCCACGUCCCGACCACCUCACAGUUUGCGGACAUCUUCACCAAGGGCCUCCCUUCCUCGACUUUCGCCGAGUUUCGCUCCAGCCUCAACGUCACCGGUGGCUAGUUGUGGCUGCGGGGGGGUAUUGUGUGUUAUGUGUUUUCUUUCUUGUCCAGUCUUGAACUCCGCUGUGCCGGUAGUCCAGACUGCGGGGGGGUGUUGGAGUAUAAGGUUUAGGCCCAUGAGGCCCAUGUAUGUGACCAUAUUGCUACCCUUCUAGGGUCAGCCACAGUUUACAGCAAUUCCAAAUACUAAAUCUCAAUUGUGGAAGUGUUGUCCUAACAGCAAUCUCAAUACUAAAUCUAUCAGUUCAUAGCCAUAGAUAUUCCUAAGUGGAUCGCCAAAUUUAAGAUCUGAUGGUCUUUCCUUUGGAGGGGCAAAACUAAGGUGACAUCAUUGUGCUAUGGCUUGAAAUGUGCUAGUGUUUGCCCAUAACACAUCAAAAUUUGGUAAAUUUUGACCAAAGAAUUGAAUCCCUUAUGAUAGAUGACUACAAAUUGCACAGGACCUGUUAUACCAAAGAAAGAAAUUGGUCAUAUGCCCACACAGUCAAGUAGUUGACAGAUUUUGCUGUCUGAACUCUGAAGUCAUAUGUUGUGCAAUUGUGAAACUAACUGAAAUAGCAUACAAGAACAGCUCAUGACUAACUGAAGUAGCAUACAAGAACAGCUCAUGGUUUUGACAUAUGUCAUCUUUCCCUAGUAGAUGUGCAAAGAAGAGUAAUUCCCAUGCCUAUUAUAUAGCUUUCACGUCCUCUGCAAAGUUCUAGCAGGUUAAGAUUAUCAAUAUAAAAAUGAACCGUCUGUAAGCCUAUCAGGGGAUGACUAUACUGGCCUCUUAAAAUAAAAAAUGAAAUUACUAUAAUAUCAUCACAAGACUAGGAACUACUAUUAAGAUUACUCAAUUUCUAUGUUACAGACAUUUGUAACUGAAAUCAAUUCUAGCUUAGUAUGAUUAACGAACUAAUAAGGUUUUAAACAAUAUAGAAAAUACUCACUCCAAAAUAGCUAUUGUCCAAUGUUUUCAAGACAGCUGGUCGUGCCUAGACGCCGAGGGACCGUCUAGGACGUCCAGUCGUCCAAGACGAUUAAUCGACCCUGGACGAGUCCCAUGGUUAUCACGGUCAUCCCCUACAUAUGAGGACUGAUAUAUACCAUACAUAUUAUGUAGUUAUCACACACUAGUAUACUGCAUGUUCUAGGCUCUAGAGUCUAGAUAGGUCAGCACAGGUAGAGCAUCAAGCUUGAGCAAGGAGGUGAUGACUGAUGAAUGACCUGAGGAUGAGCUCAUCUUUGUUGUGCAGUCCUCCUCCCUUGCACAGUUGGACCUGUUCACCUGCUGGAUCCACAGGUGUGCACGCUUGCAGCAGCAGCCGCAAGGAAGAGAGGGAGGGCAGCUGGAAGGGAGGAAGGGAGGGAGGAGCAGCUGGGAACCAAAAGGGAGGAGAGGAGAUGAGCAAUGGAGGUGGCUGCUGCUGCUGGACAGGAGAGGUGAGGAGUGUGUUCUGCUGAAAUGAAUGAGUGAGAGGUAAGAAACAACAUAAACCUUAAUGGGCUUGGGCCAAAAUAUAAGGCAGCUAGCUAGGCCCAACUCUGAGAUGCAGCCCACCUACUGACUAGACGCCCAGACAACCUAGACGGAUGAUUAAUCAUGACUGGGUAACGACUAAUCGGACAACUAGUUUCCUGGUCAGUCUGGCCGAGUCGGAGGCCCUGGUCGAGUAGCUCCAACCAUCCAGGGUGAUUAAUCGGACAUCCUGAAAACAUUGCUAUUGUCUAAUGUCCUAGAAUAUGUGCAGCCAAACUUACAAAUUGGGCUACUAAUAUGCAUAUGCAUGUACAGAGAAUCAGAGAUAUGACAGAACUGAUACUUUUCAUCUAAAGUACUCUCGUAUCAUCUUGUUUCCAAUAAACUUUUGCUCCUCACCAAGAAAUAAUAAUGGAAGGACCUGUCUUAGAGAUGGUCUAGUGUCCAAAACAACAAAAGAACAGAUCUACUACUAGUUACUACUUACCAUAUAUACCUGUUAUGUAGUAUGGUCGAGAUGACUAAUAUUAACUCUUUCCCCAGAAAAUAAUUUAGUGCAGUUUCAACAAUACAAAUGAAAAUAAUACCCUGUUUAGAAUUAGAAUACUCCUUGCCUGUAUGUAGUCGCCAUCCA
rnacentral:lncRNA from 1 species